rnacentral:rRNA from 1 species
CGCCUCUUGAUAAAAUAUAAGAGGUCCAGCCUGCCCGGUGAUAUAAUUUAACGGCCGCGGUAUACUGACCGUGCGAAGGUAGCAUAAUCACUUGUUCUUUAAAUGGGGACUAGUAUGAAUGGCACCACGAGGGCUUUACUGUCUCCUUUCUUCAAUCAGUGAAACUGACCUCCCUGUGAAGAGGCAGGGAUACUACUAUAAGACGAGAAGACCCCAUGGAGCUUUAAACCCAACAACAGCCCAAACACCUACCCCCUCAAAGUUUUUAAAGUUUUGUUAGUUGGUUUUAGGUUGGGGUGACCGCGGAGUACAAACCACCCUCCACGACGAAUGGGCCUACCCCCUUACCCAAGAAUUACACCUCUAAGGAUUAACACAUUAACGUAAAAUGAUCCAAAUAUUUGAUCAACGAACCAAGUUACCCUGGGGAUAACAGCGCAAUCCAUUUUUAGAGCCCCUAUCGACAAAUGGGUUUACGACCUCGAUGUUGGAUCAGGGUAUCCCGGAGGUGCAGCCGCUUCCAAUGGUUUGUUUGUUCAACAAUUAAAACCCU